GUCCCUGUAGCGUAAUGGAUAGCGCAUUGGAUUUGUAAUCCGAAGGGUGUAGGUUUGAAUCCUACCUCGGAUG